rnacentral:rRNA from 1 species
GAUCGGCCCGCGUCUGAUUAGCUAGUUGGUGAGGUAACGGCUCACCAAGGCGACGAUCAGUAGCUGGUCUGAGAGGAUGAUCAGCCACAUUGGGACUGAGACACGGCCCAAACUCCUACGGGAGGCAGCAGUGGGGAAUAUUGGACAAUGGGCGCAAGCCUGAUCCAGCCAUGCCGCGUGAGUGAUUAAGGCCCUAGGGUUGUAAAGCUCUUUUGUGCGGGAAGAUAAUGACGGUACCGCAAGAAUAAGCCCCGGCUAACUUCGUGCCAGCAGCCGCGGUGAUACAAAGGGGGCUAGCGUUGCUCGGAAUCACUGGGCGUAAAGGGUGCGUAGGCGGGUCUUUAAGUCAGGGGUGAAAUCCUGAGCUCAACUCCAGAACUGCCUUUGAUACUGAGGAUCUUGAGUUCGGGAGAGGUGAGUGGAACUGCCAGUGUAAAGGUGAAAUUCGUAAAUAUUCGCAAGAACACCAGUGGCGAAGGCGGCUCACUGGCCCGAUUCUGACCCUUGAGGCACGAAAACGUGUGGGGGCAAAACAGGAUUAGAUACCCCGGGGGUCCCCCCCCGUAAAACAAUGAAUGCCCCCCCCUUUUGGGGGGUUUUACCCCCUAGGGGGCGCCAACCUAAAGCCUUUAAAACAUUU